UGGGGAAUUUUGGACAAUGGGCGAAAGCCUGAUCCAGCAAUGCCGCGUGUGUGAAGAAGGCCUUCGGGUUGUAAAGCACUUUUGUCCGGAAAGAAAUCCUUGGCUCUAAUACAGUCGGGGGAUGACGGUACCGGAAGAAUAAGCACCGGCUAACUACGUGCCAGCAGCCGCGGUAAUACGUAGGGUGCAAGCGUUAAUCGGAAUUACUGGGCGUAAGCGUGCGCAGGCGGUUUGCUAAGACCGAUGUGAAAUCCCGGGCUCAACCUGGGAACUGCAUUGGUGACUGGCAGGCUAGAGUAUGGCAGAGGGGGGUAGAAUUCCACGUGUAGCAGUGAAAUGCGUAGAGAUGUGGAGGAAUACCGAUGGCGAAGGCAGUCCCCUGGGCCAAUACUGACGCUCAUGCACGAAAGCGUGGGGAGCAAACAGGAUUAGAUACCCUGGUAGUCCAGCGCCCUAAACGAUGUCAACUAGUUGUUGGGGAUUCAUUUCCUUAGUAACGUAGCUAACGCGUGAAGUUGACCGCCUGGGGAGUACGGUCGCAAGAUU
rnacentral:rRNA from 1 species